rnacentral:lncRNA from 1 species
AGCCGUGGAGGGAGUGGUGAUGGAGAUCAUCAUCACCUUCGCACUCGUGUACACGGUGUACGCCACCGCCGUCGACCCAAAGAGGGGCUCCCUCGGCACGGUCGCCCCCAUCGCCAUCGGCCUUAUCGUCGGAGCCAACAUCCUCGCCGCCGGCCCCUUCUCCGGCGGCUCCAUGAACCCCGCGCGCUCCUUCGGGCCGGCAGUGGCGAGCGGCGACUUCGCCGACCUGUGGGUUUACUGGGUCGGUCCACUUAUUGGUGGUGGGCUGGCUGGGCUUGUCUACACCUAUGCCUACAUGUGCACCGACCACACUCCGCUCCCCCAGUAAAAUUGUUUCUUCACAGAACAUUAGCAUAAAGACCUGUC